UGGUUCUCCCCGAAAUAGCUUUAGGGCUAGCGUCGGAUAUGUGUAGUGGAGGUAGAGCACUGAAUGGGCUAGGGGGCAUAUCGCUUACCGAACCUUAUCAAACUCCGAAUGCCAUAUACAUUUAGUCCGGCAGUCAGACUACGAAUGAUAAGAUCCGUGGUCAAAAGGGAAACAGCCCAGAUCGUCAGCUAAGGUCCCAAAGUGUAAGUUAAGUGGAAAAGGAUGUGGGAUUUCUAAGACAACUAGGAUGUUGGCUUAGAAGCAGCCACUCAUUUAAAGAGUGCGUAAUAGCUCACUAGUCGAGAGAUCCUGCGCCGAAAAUGUCCGGGGCUCAAACUUACCACCGAAGCUACGGGCUUGCGUAAGCAAGCGGUAGGGGAGCGUCGUAAUCGGGCUGAAGUCGUACCGUAAGGAGCGGUGGACUGAUUACGAGUGAGAAUGUUGGCAUUAGUAGCGAGAUGUAGGUGAGAAUCCUACAGGCCGAAUAUCUAAGGUUUCCUCAGGAAGGCUCGUCCGCUGAGGGUUAGUCGGGACCUAAGCCGAGGCCGAAAGGCGUAGGCGAUGGACAAUCGGUUGAUAUUCCGAUACCACUACCAUCGUUAUUAUCGAGGGUGUGACGGAGAAGGAUAGUGUGUGCUAGCGAUUGGAAAUGCUAGUCUAAGCGUUUAGGGAGUUACGGUAGGCAAAUCCGCUGUAACAAUUCUGAGGCGUGAUGGGGAAGGCCAUAUAGGCCGAAGUACAUGAUUCCAUGCUUCCAAGAAAAGCAUCUAGAGAGAGAAGUAGUGCCCGUACCGCAAACCGACACAGGUAGAUGAGGAGAGAAUCCUAAGGCCGGCGGAAGAAUUGCAGUUAAGGAACUAGGCAAAUUGACCCCGUAAGUUCGCGAGAAGGGGUGCCUGCGAGAGCAGGCCGCAGAGAAUAGGCCCAAGCAACUGUUUAGCAAAAACACAGGUCUCUGCUAAAGCGUAAGCUGAUGUAUAGGGGCUGACGCCUGCCCGGUGCUGGAAGGUUAAGGGGAACACUUAGCGCAAGCGAAGGUGUGAACUUAAGCCCCAGUAAACGGCGGCCGUAACUAUAACGGUCCUAAGGUAGCGAAAUUCCUUGUCAGGUAAGUUCUGACCCGCACGAAUGGCGUAAUGACUUGGGCACUGUCUCAACUGCAAAUCCGGCGAAGUUGUAGUGCGAGUGAAGAUGCUCGCUACCCGCGAUUGGACGGAAAGACCCCGUAGAGCUUUACUGUAGCUUAGCAUUGAAUUCCGGUAUUGUCUGUACAGGAUAGGUGGGAGACUGGGAAACUAGGGCGUCAGCCUUAGUGGAGUCAACCUUGGGAUACCACCCUGACAGUACUGGGGUUCUAACAGGACGCCAUGAAUCUGGUGACUGGACAUUGUUAGGUGGGCAGUUUGACUGGGGCGGUCGCCUCCUAAAAAGUAACGGAGGCGUUCAAAGGUUCGCUCAGCUUGAACGGAAAUCAAGCAAAAGAG
rnacentral:rRNA from 1 species